rnacentral:misc_RNA from 1 species
UCGAGUUACGGCUCUACAACCCUUUGUGAACAUACCUAACUGUUGCUUCGGCGGGCAGGGGGUCCCCCCGGGGACGCCCUCCCGGCCCCGCCCCCCUACCAGGGGACGUGGCGCCCGCCGGAGGAUACCCAACUCUAUUUUAACGACGUUUCUUCUGAGUGGCACAAGCAAAUAAUUA